rnacentral:rRNA from 1 species
UACGUAGGUGGCAAGCGUUGUCCGGAGUUAUUGGGCGUAAAGCGCGCGCAGGCGGUGCGGUAAGUCUCUGGUGAAAGCGCUCGGCUUAACUGGGCGAGGGCCGGGGAGACUGCCACGCUGGAGGGGAGCAGAGGCGAGUGGAAUUCCGGGUGUAGUGGUGAAAUGCGUAGAGAUCCGGAGGAACACCAGUGGCGAAGGCGGCUCGCUGGGCUCUACCUGACGCUGAGGCGCGAAAGCGUGGG